rnacentral:rRNA from 1 species
UGCAAGUCGAGCGGAGACAGUGAGUAGCUUGCUAUGAGCUGUUUUAGCGGCGGACGGGUGAGUAACGCGUGAGCAACCUUUCCCAGACAGGGGAAUAACACACCGAAAGGUGUACUAAUACCGCAUAAGACCACGGUUUCACAUGGAACUGAGGUAAAAGAUUUAUCGGUUUGGGGUGGGCUCGCGUCCGAUUAGGUAGUUGGUGAGGUAACGGCCCACCAAGCCGACGAUCGGUAGCCGACCUGAGAGGGUGAUCGGCCACAUUGGGACUGAGACACGGCCCAAACUCCUACGGGAGGCAGCAGUGGGGAAUAUUGGGCAAUGGGGGGAACCCUGACCCAGCAACGCCGCGUGGAGGAAGAAGGUUUUCGGAUCGUAAACUCCUGUCCUUGGAGACGAGUAGAAGACGGUAUCCAAGGAGGAAGCCCCGGCUAACUACGUGCCAGCAGCCGCGGUAAUACGUAGGGGGCAAGCGUUGUCCGGAAUAAUUGGGCGUAAAGGGCGCGUAGGCGGCUCGGUAAGUCUGGAGUGAAAGUCCUGCUUUUAAGGUGGGAAUUGCUUUGGAUACUGUCGGGCUUGAGUGCAGGAGAGGUUAGUGGAAUUCCCAGUGUAGCGGUGAAAUGCGUAGAGAUUGGGAGGAACACCAGUGGCGAAGGCGACUAACUGGACUGUAACUGACGCUGAGACGCGAAAGUGUGGGGAGCAAACAGGAUUAGAUACCCUGGUAGUCCACACUGUAAACGAUGAAUGCUAGGUGUAGGGGGUAUCGACCCCUUCUGUGCCGCAGUCAACACAAUAAGCAUUCCGCCUGGGGAGUACGGCCGCA